UUUCUUCUAUUCAAACACUAACCCCUAGUCUCCCUCAAACCCUUCAUCACCUCUGCCGCUUUCCGUCGUUGGAAAUCGCCUCAUGGCCGAUAUCCAAACUAAUACAAAACUACAUCAGAUAAUCCUCACCCUCUUCUCCCCAAAUCUGCCGUUAGUUUUCAUUAAAUCCUCACCCUCUUCAAUUAUUUUCAGAUCUGAAGUUCAACCCCAAAACCUCAUGCCGCCCAAAUAACCUCAAAACUACACCCUACACCCUUACACUCCCUUAAACACUAGUCCAGUAUUGAUUUUCCCAAAAUCCCCACCCUUUUUCAUUAAUUCCAUUUUCAAGUGGAAACCCUAGACAUGUUUGUGUCUUUGAUUCAUCAUGAAAACCUGGUCCAUUUGAACCCAAGACCCACAUCAAUCGAUUGCUCUUGAUAAGAGAAAUCGAUAGAUGUUAGUCUCAGUUCAUCUUACCACUGUUUAGGACAAAAUCUUUGUUAUUUCUGCAUUUAGGUUAGGGGUGGGCAUAAUACCGAGCGAACUGAAAAAAUCGAUCGAACCGUGAAUUUUAAUUUUUCGGUUUCGGUUUAAUCAGUUUUUCGACCGGUUCACGAUUUUAAAAUUAUUAAUUUUUGAUUUUUCGGUGCGGUUUACGGUUUUUAUGUUUCGGUUUUCAGUUAAACCGAAAAACUGAACUUUUGCAAUGACUAUGCGAC
rnacentral:lncRNA from 1 species